rnacentral:sRNA from 1 species
CAGGAAGGUCAGCAGAAAUAUAAUGUACGUGGAGGUCAAUACCACCAGCAGUCACAAUCAAACCUUCUGCAGCAAUGGCUUCUGUACUAGCACCCACAACAAAGUCCACAUUGUCCAUUGUAUCUGGGUUACCACCGCGACCAAUAGCAACAUCUUACCAUCACGAAUACCGAUAUCUGCUUUAAUAAUACCUGUAUAGUCAAUGAUGUCUCGAUUCCUA